GAUAAGUGAAGUAGGAGUAACCGGUUACCGUAACCAGUUACCAACACGAAAAUUGUGUUUCUUGGUGUCUGUUUUGUGCUAACUUGAAGGUGCAUCAUGGAAAUAGGUGUUGGCUGCAAGUUCAGGGCAACAACAUAGCCCAAAAGCUUUUUUACUUUCAAUUUUAUUCAAUGUAGUGUUAUGUAUUGUAACAUGCUUAUGGAUAGACUUAUGUAAUAAUGAUUCAUGUGAUUAAAACUACAUUUGUGUAUCCAAAUUCAAAUCAACCUUUUAUUUGUUUUCCUAUUUCAAAUACACUCAUGUAUGGAUGUUUUAUUAUGAAAGUUACAUGCUUAAAAUAAAAUGAAAAAA
rnacentral:lncRNA from 1 species